GAACAGUUGAAGUCACCAGAUGCAGUGAAUGACACAAGCACGAGAUCAUAGCGAGUUCGUGUUGUCAUGUCUCUAAACUGUGAUCCCCAGAUGUACAAGCAAGUGGAAAAUUAUUUCAAACAUUGAGCUUUGCAAUACAGCUUUGAAUCAAGAAGUGCGAUGCAACCAGG